rnacentral:pre_miRNA from 1 species
AUCCUAAUUGAGGGCAUUUGUUGGUUAUUUGAGGAACAUAAGUGCUCUCAAUUGGGGUAG